GUUGAGGGCGAUCCCGGCGCCGGCGUCGAAGAUGGAGGAGCGGGUGUCUCCGUUGAAGUCCGUGGACACCACCUGACAGGAAGUACAGUUAGCAGAGUUCCGUCAGGCCCCCCGUACCCCCCCUGGUCCUAGGUGUACCCCCUGUACCCCCCUGGUCCUAGGUGUACCCCCCGGUCCUACCUGGUCCUCGGUAUACCCCCUGUACCCCCCUGG